CUACUUACCUGGCAGGGAAGAUACCAUGAUCAUGAAGGUGGUUUUCCCAGGGUGAGCCUUAUCCAUUGCACUCCAGACGUACUGACCCCUGUGAUUUCCCCAAAUGUGGAAAACCAACUGCAUACUUUGUGGGAAUAGGAGACUGCAUUUGCAUUCUCCCC